rnacentral:misc_RNA from 1 species
AAGGAGUCUAACAUAUGUGCAAGUCUUUGGGUAGCAAGCCCUUGGGCGCAAUGAAAGUGAAAUAGGGUUAGUUUUAUUACAACCACCGGGCCGGGAUCUUGGGUUUUAAUCCUUGAUUUGAGUUUGCGUUAGAGCGUAUAUGUUGGGACCCGAAAGAUGGUGAACUAUGCCUGAAUAGGGCGAAGCCAGAGGAAACUCUGGUGGAGGAUCGUAGCGAUUUUGACGUGCAAAUCAAUCGUCAAAUUUGGGUAUAGGGGCGAAAGACUAAUCGAACCAUCUAGUAGCUGGUUCCCAC